rnacentral:rRNA from 1 species
CCUACGGGAGGCAGCAGUGAGGAAUAUUGGUCAAUGGGCGCGAGCCUGAACCAGCCAAGUAGCGUGAAGGAUGACUGCCCUACGGGUUGUAAACUUCUUUUAUAAAGGAAUAAAGUGAGGCACGUGUGCCUUUUUGUAUGUACUUUAUGAAUAAGGAUCGGCUAACUCCGUGCCAGCAGCCGCGGUAAUACGGCGGAUCGGAGCGUUAUCUGGAGUUACUGGGUUUAAAGGGAGCGUAGAUGGGUUGUUAAGUCAGUUGUGAAAGGUUGGGGCUCAACCGUAAAAGUGCAAUUGAUACUGGCAGUCUUGAGUACAGUUGAGGUAAGCGGAAUUCGUGGUGUAGCGGUGAAAUGCUUAGAUAUCACGAAGAACUCCGAUUGCGAAGGCAGCUUACUAAACUGCCACUGACAUUGAUGCUCGAAAGUGUGGGUAUCAAACAGGAUUAGAUACCCGAGUAGUC